rnacentral:ncRNA from 1 species
CAACAAAACUCUGGAGAGACCGGGUUACCGGCGCCGAAGGGGCAAGAAGCACACGAUCCUCGUCGCGGCGCUUCCAAACUCUCAGGCAAAAGGACAGAGGGGCGCAA